AUUGAACGCUGGCGGCAGGCCUAACACAUGCAAGUCGAACGAGCGGCGGACGGGUGCGUAAUGUAUGGGGAUCUGCCCGAUCGAGGGGGAUAACUACUGGAAACGGUGGCUAAUACCGAAUACUAUCAGAUGAACCCAUCUGGGUUUAGCUAGUAUGUGGGGUAAAGGCUAACCUAGGCGACGAUCGCUAGCUGGUCUGAGAGGAGGAUCAGCCACACGGGGACUGAGACACGGCCCAGACUCCUACGGGGGGCAGCAGGGGGGAAUAUGGCACAAUGGGCGCAAGACUGAUGCAGCAAUGCCGCGUGUAUGAAGAAGGCCUUAGGGUUGUAAAGUACUUUCAGCGGGGAGGCGUUACCCGCAGAAGAAGCACCGGCUAACUCCGUGCCAGCAGCCGCGGUAAUAC
rnacentral:rRNA from 1 species